CUCUUGGCUGCGAAUGCCAAAGGUUCAUUGAGAGAAUUUUUCUCUCAAUCCUUUAUCUCACUCAUCUUGUGUAGACUACACAAAUAAUCUCGUAAAUCAUUUGUGUUGAAUCUUGCAUUUGUGUGGAUAUUGUUGGUUCAAUCCUACAGUUGGAUCGUGAGCGUUUUCAUCCAAAUCCGAAAAGAGGCGGAGCCUCCAAACGUUGAAGAAGAUAAGAGACGAAAUGAUAGAAGAUGGCUUGUUUGUUCGAAGACGAAGGGAGCAGAGAGAUAGACGUAACAUUUAGGGCUACCUUGGCUAGGGUUUUGUGUGGAGAAGAAGAAGAUAGGAGAAGAAAGGAGAGAACUUGGCUUGUUUUUGUUUGCAGGCAAUGCUUAGGGUUUUGGCUUUUAAAAAAAGCUUUUCAAAGUGAUUGGUACAUGAGUUAUAAUCCAACGAUCAAGAUUCGUUGUGAGAUGGGCAUGUAUUUGUAAUAUUAUAAGGGUUUAUUUGUUAUUUUUGAAGCAAAUAAGGACCAAUUACAAUU